rnacentral:pre_miRNA from 1 species
GAGACGCACCUCCAGGGCAAGACUUGCUUCAGUGGGGCUUUGGUGCUCACUGAGUCUGCCCCCUGAGUGUGUCCCU